AUUGAACGCUGGCGGCAGGCCUAACACAUGCCAGUCGAGCGGAUGAAGGGAGCUUGCUCCUGGAUUCAGCGGCGGACGGGUGAGUAAUGCCUAGGAAUCUGCCUGGUAGUGGGGGAUAACGUCCGGAAACGGGCGCUAAUACCGCAUACGUCCUGAGGGAGAAAGUGGGGGAUCUUCGGACCUCACGCUAUCAGACGAGCCUAGGUCGGAUUAGCUAGUUGGUGGGGUAAAGGCCUACCAAGGCGACGAUCCGUAACUGGUCUGAGAGGAUGAUCAGUCACACUGGAACUGAGACACGGUCCAGACUCCUACGGGAGGCAGCAGUGGGGAAUAUUGGACAAUGGGCGAAAGCCUGAUCCAGCCAUGCCGCGUGUGUGAAGAAGGUCUUCGGAUUGUAAAGCACUUUAAGUUGGGAGGAAGGGCAGUAAGUUAAUACCUUGCUGUUUUGACGUUACCAACAGAAUAAGCACCGGCUAACUUCGUG
rnacentral:rRNA from 1 species